rnacentral:rRNA from 1 species
UGGGGAAUUUUGGACAAUGGGCGAAAGCCUGAUCCAGCAAUGCCGCGUGCAGGAUGAAGGCCCUCGGGUUGUAAACUGCUUUUGUACGGAACGAAAAGCCUGGGGCUAAUACCCCCGGGUCAUGACGGUACCGUAAGAAUAAGCACCGGCUAACUACGUGCCAGCAGCCGCGGUAAUACGUAGGGUGCAAGCGCUAAUCGGAAUUACUGGGCGUAAAGCGUGCGCAGGCGGUUUUGUAAGACAGUGGUGAAAUCCCCGGGCUCAACCUGGGAACUGCCAUUGUGACUGCGGAGCUUGAGUACGGCAGAGGGGGAUGGAAUUCCGCGUGUAGCAGUGAAAUGCGUAGAUAUGCGGAGAAACACCGAUGGCGAAAGCCAUCCCCUGGGCCUGCACUGACGCUCAUGCACGAAAGCGUGGGGAGCAAACA